ACAACAUUAUUUUUAACUGUUGAAAAACUAAAGAAACUUAUUGUCGUGAUCAUACACUUACUUUACCUGUUCUUUGGUCUUGUUUGGCGACUUGCAAUGCUCGGAUUUGCAAGGGUUUGCUUCGAUUAGCAGCUGAACGACCUCAUUCAUGCUAGGGCGAAGGGUUGCCGUUUGGCAUGUACAACGGAUAGCUAUCCGAAGAACUUUAAUUAUAUCAUUAUUGUAAUACCCCGAAAGUCUCUUGUCCAAAACCUCAAACGCUCCUUCUUUUGUCUCCACUUUGGUUGAAAUCCAAUAUAUGAUAGAUGUUAGUGAAGAGAGUGAGUUGGGGAUGUAACCCGUGAGUUGAUUUCCUUGUAAUAACAAAAGAUUGAGUCGUUUUAGAUCACCAAUUUCUGAAGGUAUUGGUCCAGAGAGUAGAUUCUCACUGAGAUCAAUCUUUACAAGUUUGUGAGGGUGUGAUAUUUCAGAAGGGAUAACUCCAGAGAGUUUGUUAUUUUGUAAGAGCAAUUCUGAUAAGUUUCUAGCAUUCCCAACUACUUUAGGUAUCGAACCGGUGAACGAAUUCUGACUCAGAUCGAGAAUCGACACAGCCGGGAGGCUGAGAACUCCUUCGGGGAUCGUUCCAGACAGCCGGUUGGAACUAAGUCGAAAACGGAUAAGGGAGACGCAGCUAGAAUAAGACUCUGGGACGACACCAGAAAACAUGUUGUCAAGCACUAGCAAGUAAAGCAACUUACCUCCAUUGCAUAUCUCCGCUGGUAAUUCUCCUGUAAGCUGAUUUUCCGACAAGUCGAUAAGCAUAAGUGGUGAUGAUCUCCCUAGAUGUCUUGGCACUUCACCGGUCAGAUAGUUUCUGUAAAGAGAUAACGUUGUCAACGUCUUUGAGUCCUCGAGGACACGCGGGAUGUGUCCGGUGAGACUGUUGUUGUAAAACUGUACCACUCUGAGAUGCGGUAACCGGCAUAUGACUUCAGGUAUUCUUCCGGUUAACUGGUUGACGGAUAUAUCGAUAUCCCUGAGAUUGGUCAGGUUUCCGAGCUCUUCCGGAAUCUCACCCACGAGUUGGUUGUAGUAAAGCUCAAGUUGUUUCAAGUUUUUCAGCAAACCAAGUUCUCUAGGAACCGGACCAACUAAAUAGUUACCACAUAAUUCAAGAUCAACAAGAGAUGUCAUGUUCCCAAUUGAUUUCGGGAUUGGACCACUCACCAUGCAUGUACUCAAGAUCAAGAUCUUGAGUUUCGACAGCCGGAAAAUAUCAUCCGGCAACCUCCAGAGAUCAAACCCAGCGUUUUCAUUGAAAUUCAUCACUUCAAGAUUGGUGAGAUUUAUUAAAGACAAAGGAAACUUUCCUGAAAAUGCACAAUAAGCCAUAUCAAGCACCCGGAGAGACUUCAUCGGCGAAAAAUCUGGCAACUUUCCGGUGAGACUCGUAUGAGUUGUGAUCAAUUCUUCGAGUAAUGAACAGUUAGUGAUGCUGUAUGGUAACUCUCCAUGAAUAUUGUUGUAACCAAUAUCUAGAGUUUUCAGAUAAGGAAGGUAAGAACAUAUGUUUUCAGGAAAUCGACCCGAUAGACUCCGCCUCGAAAUGUUGAUCUUAACCACGUACCCUUUAUCAUCACAGGUUAUACCUGCGUAAUCACAUACGUUUGUACCAUCCCAGUCACCAAAAGUGUUGCCUGAAAAGGAACUCUUCAGAAGUGUGAAGAACUCAGUUUGAUUGAGUGUGGUGGUUUCAUAAGUGCUUAAAAAAGACAAGAGAAUUGCAAAAUAGAAGAUGAAAAGAUGGUGAAAACCCAUUGGAAAAACGGUGUAAAAAGUAAAGGGA
rnacentral:lncRNA from 1 species